rnacentral:tRNA from 1 species
UCCGCAGCGCCGCGCGGGAGGCGGUCGCCGGCUUCGGCCCGGCGGCCGCCCCGGCACUGCGCCGGGCGGCGGCCC